AUGGGCAUUGGAGACGAUGUCCUUCAGUUAGGCUGGCCCCAGAACAGGUGCUGCAUGGCUGUCGUCAGCACGUGUCGUGAGAUGUUGGGUUAAGUCCCGCAACGAGCGCAACCCUCGCCCUUAGUUGCCAGCAUUUAGUUGGGCACUCUAAGGGGACUGCCGGUGAUAAGCCGAGAGGAAGGUGGGGAUGACGUCAAGUCCUCAUGGCCCUUACGGGCUGGGCUACACACGUGCUACAAUGGUGGUGACAGUGGGCAGCGAGACAGCGAUGUCGAGCUAAUCUCCAAAAGCCAUCUCAGUUCGGAUUGCACUCUGCAACUCGAGUGCAUGAAGUUGGAAUCGCUAGUAAUCGCAGAUCAGCAUGCUGCGGUGAAUACGUUCCCGGG
rnacentral:rRNA from 1 species